UAAAGAGGGGGCAAGCGUUGUUCGGAAUUACUGGGCGUAAAGGGCGCGUAGGCGGCCUUCUAAGUCGAACGUGAAAUCCCUGGGCUCAACCCAGGAACUGCGUCCGAUACUGGAAGGCUUGAAUCCGGGAGAGGGAUGCGGAAUUCCAGGUGUAGCGGUGAAAUGCGUAGAUAUCUGGAGGAACACCGGUGGCGAAGGCGGCAUCCUGGACCGGUAUUGACGCUGAGGCGCGAAAGCCAGGGGAGCAAACGGG
rnacentral:rRNA from 1 species